ACCCUUGACCCAGUUAGCAUAAAUGGGUGGUCACCCGUGUGCAAAUGAUGGCAGGCCUAACACAUGCAAGCCCGUAGAACUUAUGGGUGGCGCCGUGACGUGACGUGAUGUGAGGAAUACACCGUGAUUAACGUGACUUUGGGCCGUGACGGUGCAUGAGGGAAACCGUGCAGUGGUUUAGCGAUCGCAUACGACCUACGGGUGAAAGCGUUCGCGCGGUAACUGACGCCGAUGUCCGGUUAGCUAGUUGGCGGGGUAAAGGCCCACCCGUGCGAACUUCAACGUAGCGUCUGAGAGGAUGAUCAGCCACACUGGAACUGAGACGGUGCAGUGAUCCAACUGAUAGGCAGCAGUGGCCAUGACCCAAGGGACAAUGGGCGCAAGCCUGACCGUGACCGCGUGGGUGAAGCCGUCGUUCGGAACGGGUGACAUUUUUGUUGGGAAAGAAAAGCAGUCGGUUAAUCCGGGAUUGUUCCCAAUGACGAAACAGAAUAAGCACCGGCUAACUUCCCAGCAGCCGCGGUAAUACGAAGGGUGGGCAAGCGUUACGUCGGGAAUUACUGGGCGUAAAACCCGCGUAGGUGGUGGUUUAAGUCUGUUGUGAAAGCCCCUGGGCUCAACCUGGGAAUUGCAGUGGAUACUGGAUCACUAGAGCCGUGACCGUAGAGCGGAAUUCCCCCGUGCUAAAAGUGAAAUGCGUACGGAUCGGGAGGAACAUCCGUGAACGAAGGCGGCUACCUGGACCCCGUGAACACUGAGGCACGAAAGCGUGGGGAGCAAACAGGAUUAGAUACCCCUGGUAGUCCACGCCCUAAACGAUGCGAAACGGUUGUUGGAAUGCAAUUUGGCAAACGUGAGGAACAUGAUCGAAGCUAACGCGUUAAGUUCGCCGCCUGAACGGGUGAAAAAGAACUCAAAGGAACGGUGGGCGUACAAUGAGGGGCCCGCACA
rnacentral:rRNA from 1 species